rnacentral:misc_RNA from 1 species
CUCUCUCUCUCUCUCUCUGUGUCUUUAGGGGCAAUGGAUCGGGUCCAUCUUCUAUUGCUAGGAUUACCUCUCUUCCUCUUGUGCACUGAUCUCAUCAACCUCUUUACUCCGCCUCCUAAACCUUUUCCUCACCACCACCACCACCACCAUAAACCUACGCCACCACCGGUUUCCCAUGAAACCCUAGAAACUCCGGCGCAGGAACAAGUUGUUGGAGGCAUUGGUCUCGGCAAUACGGUGAAGAUUGACUUUUGCUCUUCCUGUUCUUACAGGGGGACUGCGGUGACAAUGAAAAAGAUGUUGGAAACCCAGUUUCCUGGAAUUGAUGUUUUGUUGGCAAAUUAUCCCCCGUCACUACCCAAGCGCCUGUUGGCCAAGUUGGUGCCGGUAGUUCAGAUAGGAGUUAUUGCAAUUGUGAUGGCUGGUGAGCAGAUUUUUCCAAUGCUGGGCCUCAUGGCACCACCUCCUUGGUAUUAUUCUUUGCGUGCAAAUAAAUUUGGAACAAUGGCGUCGACUUGGCUACUUGGUAACGCACUGCAGUCCUUCCUCCAAAGCUCUGGAGCUUUUGAAGUUUACUGCAAUGAUGAAUUGGUUGGUGACUUAAACGUUGGCAUUCAUCUUUUUAGUUUUUGUUUUAAUUGUGUGUCUUUAAUGUUGCAUCAUCUGAAACUUUAUAAGUUUGAUCAUUUGGCAGCACAAAUGUGCUGUUGUUCUCCUUGCAAGCUUUUGCAUACUUGCAUUCUCAAUUUUAAUGAUCUUAUUGCCCAUUGCAAUUGUUAUUUAUAAUCCACAGGUUUGCAAUCAACUGAGCAUUUGAAAUCUUGUUUUAGUUCAUGAUGCCUCAGUUUGAAACUUGAUCUGUAUUUGAUUGAAACAAAUAUAUCAAAUAAUUUGCAUCUCAAUAUCUUUAUAUAUAAUUUAUUUGUUUUAUCCAUUGUAGGUUUUCUCUAAACUGAAGGAGGGGAGAUUUCCUGGAGAGAUUGAAUUAAAAGAUCUUGUUGGCAAAAGGUUGGCUAAUUCUGGAUUUGCAGAUAUGCUGAUGCAGUAAGUAUAUGGAGGCUUGAGACUGUCGUUAUGACAGUUGCGAUUCAGGCUGCUCUAACACUGGGUAGAUUGUCUGGGGCAGGGUUGCUUUUGGUGCAUGUAAAUUUGAACUUGCAUGUGUCUGUCACCUAUAUGAACAUUGUUGAGAACUGAAUUGCGGGUUUCAGCCUCAAUGCAGCUAUCCAUCUACAUUACAUGUAUGGCACUGUGAAUUUGAGAAUUCAUGGCUUCUUGUGUAUUCAAAUAAGAUAAAAUGAAUUAAAAUACG